rnacentral:rRNA from 1 species
CCUACGGGAGGCAGCAGUGGGGAAUUUUGGACAAUGGGGGCAACCCUGAUCCAGCCAUUCCGCGUGAGUGAAGAAGGCCUUCGGGUUGUAAAGCUCUUUCGCAAGGGAAGAAAACUUAUGAUCGAAUAAAUCAUGAGGUUGACGGUACCUUGAUAAGAAGCACCGGCUAACUACGUGCCAGCAGCCGCGGUAAUACGUAGGGUGCGAGCGUUAAUCGGAAUUACUGGGCGUAAAGCGUGCGCAGGCGGUUUUGUAAGUCGGAUGUGAAAUCCCCGGGCUCAACCUGGGAACUGCGUUCGAAACUGCAAGGCUAGAGUGUGUCAGAGGGGGGUAGAAUUCCACGUGUAGCAGUGAAAUGCGUAGAGAUGUGGAGGAAUACCAAUGGCGAAGGCAGCCCCCUGGGAUAACACUGACGCUCAUGCACGAAAGCGUGGGGAGCAAACAGGAUUAGAUACCCUGGUAGUCCACGCCCUAAACGAUGUCAACUAGUUGUUGGUAGAGUAAAAUCUAUGAGUAACGUAGCUAACGCGUGAAGUUGACCGCCUGGGGAGUACGGUCGCAAGAUUAAAACCUCAAAGAUAGCGCGNGNGAGAGCGACGACGACGACGACGGAGGAGG